rnacentral:lncRNA from 1 species
AUGGCUAAUCUGAAAAAUACUCACUGAACGGAGACUCUACUGAAGAGUCCCAUUGGACGGAGACUCUGAUGAAGAAUCCCACUGGACUAGAACUUUAUUAUUAAUUAAGAAUUAAUUGAUGAUUAGAUCACUAAUUAACUCAAUUUGAUUGAGCAUUAAAGUUUGGAUCAAGUCUGAUUGAAUUAGAUUCAAUCAGAUCAGGUUUGAUUAGGUUAUGAGAUGAUCU